AUUGAACGCUGGCGGCAUGCCUUACACAUGCAAGUCGAACGGCAGCACGGGUGCUUGCACCUGGUGGCGAGUGGCGAACGGGUGAGUAAUACAUCGGAACGUACCUUAUCGUGGGGGAUAACGCAGCGAAAGCUGUGCUAAUACCGCAUACGCCCUGAGGGGGAAAGCGGGGGAUCGAAAGACCUCGCGCGAUUAGAGCGGCCGAUGCCUGAUUAGCUUGUUGGUGGGGUAAAAGCCCACCAAGGCGACGAUCAGUAGCUGGUCUGAGAGGACGAUCAGCCACACUGGGACUGAGAAACGGCCCAGACUCCUACGGGAGGCAGCAGUGGGGAAUUUUGGACAAUGGGGGCAACCCUGAUCCAGCAAUGCCGCGUGAGUGAAGAAGGCCUUCGGGUUGUAAAGCUCUUUUGUCAGGGAAGAAACACCGGCUCUAACACAGUCCGGGAAUGACGGUACCUGAAGAAUACGCACCGGCUAACUACGUGCCAGCCGCCGCGGUAA
rnacentral:rRNA from 1 species